rnacentral:lncRNA from 1 species
GCCCCACCCGAACAAUGUUGCAAGUUUGUGGUAUGCUCACGCCUGUGCCAAGGUAGAGCAAACUUGGAGUAGAUUAAGAUCCCCAUGGUAAAAUUCACCCCUUGGGUGUGAUAGAAGAGUUCUGACUCGGGAGCAAUGGGAACAAGCCAAAAGAACGAGCGUUGAGACAGAGAGAGUUUGAUAGUUGCUUUGGGCAUAUAUAAAACACACUGAUUAACUUUGCCAGAAUUGGGAGUUCUUACAGGAAGAUCCCCAAAGUGCAAUGAACAAAAGAAUGCCAUCAGAAAAAGUGAGACCUGCACACAGUGCCAAUGGCUCCUCUUCAGUGUUCUAGUCAACUGGCUGUUCUAUGGUACUCUCCCUCUAAAAGCUCAGUACUCACUAGACCCCUGAGUCCCUCUCCAGGUUAAUUUCUACAGAUGUUCCAUACCUCUCCAAUCCCAGAAAGAAGAGGAAUGAAAAAUGUCCAGUGAUUUAUAUUACAUGCUUAAUAAGGAAAACUGUGAUCGCUCAAAUAAAACAGCUGUGUACCAGGAAGAAAAAGAGAAACAAUGAAAGAGAAUGCACUAAGGAGACAGCAGCAAAUAAAAUUCCAUAUGUACAUAGCCACUGUACAGUAAAGAUGACAGCAAUGUGGUGUGCUCUGAAAGUUAAGUUGUCACACUCAGUUUCUCAUAUUUGUUGACAAACACAAGCAACUGUAAGCUGAGUCAUGGCAACUGGGCUUCUUUCUUGUUAGAUUGAAACGAUUUGCUACUCAUUGAAGUAGCUUCUUCAGUCUGAGGAAAGUUGGUAGGAGACUCGUGAUAUAUCCUCCCCAUUGGUUUCAUUUCUCCCUGGCCUGAAUAGGCUCAUUAGAUGGAUAAUGGAUUGGGAUUGAGUGAAAUAUCCCACCUCUGCAGUCCUUCUCCACACAUUGACUCUCAUUGCAACACAUACUAAGGGUCAUCAGGAUGCUAAACUACAGAGCAAGAAACAUCCCCACCUCCACAGAAGCAAGAAGAAGGCCUGUGAAUAACCAAAAUGGGCUUUUAACAAGGUAGUGUCCCAACCAAGGAGGACAAUGGAACAGUCUGAGACCCAAAGCUGAGGGAAGAAUCUGGUCAUUCUUUACAUGAUGGGUGUGUCUGAAAAGAUCAAAAGGAUCUUUUCAGACCCGUUCACUUCAAACCCACUAAGGCAGAGAAUCGCCCACACAGAAGCCCACACACCAAAACACAAGAGCAAUAUACUAUAUGUGGUCUGAUGCAAAGACUUUUCGGAGCUCUACGCUGGAGAAACCAAACAGCCACUACACAGGAGAAGGCCCCAGCACAGGAGGGGCAAUGACUCAGGACCAUAAUCAGCAGUGUUCCAUCAUUUAAAGCACUGGUUCUUAACCUUGGGUUACUCAGGAGUUUUGGACUGCAACUCCCAGAAGCCUUCACCACCAGCUGUCCUGACUGGGGUUUCUGGGAGUUGCAGUUCAAAAGCAUCCGAGUAACAAAGGUUAAGAACCACUGAUUUAAAGGACAAAUGGCACACAUUUGAUGACCAAGAUGUACUCAGAAAAUCCCUCACUCAACAGGGGUGGAGGCCUUAGAUACAAUCUGUCUCCUAUUUAUCAUCCUGCCCUUUUAUCUGUCCCCAGAAAGAUGGGGAACACAACCACCUGAAAGACCACUGUUAACGACCCACGACAAUGG